rnacentral:rRNA from 1 species
CCUACGGGAGGCUGCAGUGGGGAAUAUUGGACAAUGGGCGAAAGCCUGAUCCAGCCAUGCCGCGUGUGUGAAGAAGGCCUUCGGGUUGUAAAGCACUUUCAGUGGGGAAGAAAGCCUUGGGGCUAAUACCCUCGAGGAAGGACAUCACCCACAGAAGAAGCACCGGCUAACUCCGUGCCAGCAGCCGCGGUAAUACGGAGGGUGCGAGCGUUAAUCGGAAUUACUGGGCGUAAAGCGCGCGUAGGCGGUCUGAUAAGCCGGUUGUGAAAGCCCCGGGCUCAACCUGGGAACGGCAUCCGGAACUGUCAGGCUAGAGUGCAGGAGAGGAAGGUAGAAUUCCCGGUGUAGCGGUGAAAUGCGUAGAGAUCGGGAGGAAUAGCAGUGGCGAAGGCGGCCUUCUGGACUGACACUGACGCUGAGGUGCGAAAGCGUGGGUAGCAAACAGGAUUAGAUACCCUAGUAGC